rnacentral:lncRNA from 1 species
GCAGUACCUUCCAGAGAUGUGCUGGGGAUUUGAUUUUCAUUUUGUGAGGUACUGGUAAGAUCUGGGCUUUGGAAAACACAAGCAAAAUAUGGAGAUCUAUAAUUUUGACAUUCCAUGGGAGAUGAAAUUAGUGCCAUUGCACACAGACCAGAAAUACAUAGGAAUGGAUUGGGUUGCAACUUGGCCUCCACAGGAUGAAAGAAGGUUGAGGAAUACUGAUGUGCUGAACAGUAGUGCAUGGAAAGGCAGCACGAUGUCCUCUCAUG